GUACUGGCCUGGCAGGGGAGACACCAUGACCACAGAGGUGGUUUUCCCAGGGUGAGGCUUAUCCAUUGCACUCCAGAUAUGCUGACCCUGCGAUUUCUCCAAAUGUGGGAAACUCAAUUGCAUAACUUGUGGUAGUGGGGGACUAAGUUUGCUAUCUCCCCUA